ACGCAUUAAGCACUCCGCCUGGGGAGUACGACCGCAAGGUUGAAACUCAAAGGAAUUGACGGGGGCCCGCACAAGCGGUGGAGCAUGUGGUUUAAUUCGAAGCAACGCGAAGAACCUUACCAGGUCUUGACAUCCUUUGACCACUCUAGAGAUAGAGCUUUCCCUUCGGGGACAAAGUGACAGGUGGUGCAUGGUUGUCGUCAGCUCGUGUCGUGAGAUGUUGGGUUAAGUCCCGCAACGAGCGCAACCCUUAUUGUUAGUUGCCAUCAUUUAGUUGGGCACUCUAGCGAGACUGCCGGUGACAAACCGGAGGAAGGUGGGGAUGACGUCAAAUCAUCAUGCCCCUUAUGACCUGGGCUACACACGUGCUACAAUGGGAAGUACAACGAGUCGCUAGACCGCGAGGUCAUGCAAAUCUCUUAAAGCUUCUCUCAGUUCGGAUUGCAGGCUGCAACUCGCCUGCAUGAAGCCGGAAUCGCUAGUAAUCGCGGAUCAGCACGCCGCGGUGAAUACGUUCCCGGGCCUUGUACACACCGCCCGUCACACCACGAGAGUUUGUAACACCCGAAGUCGGUGAGGUAACCUUUUGGAGCCAGCCGCCUAAGGUGGGAUAGAUGAUGGGGUG
rnacentral:rRNA from 1 species